rnacentral:rRNA from 1 species
GACGAACCGUGCGAACGUUGUUCGGAAUCACUGGGCUUAAAGGGCGCGUAGGCGGCUUAUCAAGUCAGGGGUGAAAUCCGGCAGCUCAACUGUCGAAGUGCCUUUGAUACUGAUGAGCUCGAGGGAGGUAGGGGUAUGCGGAACUUCCGGUGGAGCGGUGAAAUGCGUUGAUAUCGGAAGGAACGCCGGUGGCGAAAGCGGCGUACUGGACCUCUUCUGACGCUGAGGCGCGAAAGCUAGGGGAGCAAACGGG